rnacentral:misc_RNA from 1 species
UGGCGCAACUGAGGUUGCUUGUUGGCUCCUCUUGAAUGAAUGAGUUUUUCUGAUGGAUCAUAGCUCAGUAACACUAAUGUGAUAAUUAUCUACGUUAGAUGUGAAGAGGCUCCUACAGAAAAGGUGUAUCUUGGGGAUAACAAACCCUUGACUUUGACAAAUCUGACCUCAAAUCAGGUAGGACUACCCGCUGAACUUAA